GAAAAACAGGCAAAAGUGGGCGAGACAGAGAGAGGCCACCAGUAGCCGGUUAAUUUGCGGCCAGGCGGCACCUGCUGCGGUGCUGCCUGCCUACGAUUGGCCGAAGGGCGAAGAAGGCUGAAGAUGCAGAGGCAGAACUGCAUGGAACGGUGCGGUUUGAUCGCAUUUGCCCACGAAUGUGUGAGAAUUUUGCCAGUCGCUAUCCGCAGUCCAUCAAUGUUAGACGAUCGGAGCUCGGUGAUAGAAGAUCGGCAAGGUCUAGAGUUCAACAGGCCGUCAGAAGCUACUACUCCAAAUCGAAGUGUACAUUUGGUUCCUACUAGGAUCGAAUUCCCCAAUUUUGCGUAUUAAUUUUACUUAUUUCGACGUCAUAGUAUGAAUUAAUGAACUCAAGUACUCACCUC